GAUGAAGAACGUAGCGAAAUGCGAUAAGUAGUGUGAAUUGCAGAAUUCAGUGAAUCAUCGAAUCUUUGAACGCACAUUGCGCCCCUCGGUAUUCCGUGGGGCAUGCCUGUUCGAGCGUCAUUUAACCCCUCAAGCCUAGCUUGGUAUUGGGUGCUUGUCCCGCCUCUCGCGCGGCGACUCACCUCAAAGUCAUUGGCAGCCCGCAUCUCGCCGGCCGUGAGCGCAGCACAGACGCGCUCUUGGCAACGACGGAUCGGCUCUCCAAAAGCUUAUUUCAACCACUGACCUCGGAUCAGGUAGGGAUACCCGCUGAACUUAAACAUAUCAAUAAGCGGAGGA
rnacentral:misc_RNA from 1 species